rnacentral:rRNA from 1 species
UACAGAGGGGGCAAGCGUUAUUCGGAAUUAUUGGGCGUAAAGGGCGCGUAGGCGGCCUGACAAGUGGAAGGUGAAAUCCCUCGGCUUAACCGAGGAACUGCCCUCCAAACUGUUUGGCUUGAGACCGGGAGAGGUGAGUGGAAUUCCCAGUGUAGCGGUGAAAUGCGUAGAUAUUGGGAGGAACACCAGUGGCGAAGGCGGCUCACUGGACCGGUACUGACGCUGAGGCGCAAAAGCGUGGGGAGCAAACGGG